UGCAAGUCGAGCGGUAAGGCCUUUCGGGGUACACGAGCGGCGAACGGGUGAGUAACACGUGGGUGAUCUGCCCUGCACUUCGGGAUAAGCCUGGGAAACUGGGUCUAAUACCGGAUAUGACCUCCUAUCGCAUGGUGGGUGGUGGAAAGAUUUAUCGGUGCAGGAUGGGCCCGCGGCCUAUCAGCUUGUUGGUGGGGUAAUGGCCUACCAAGGCGACGACGGGUAGCCGACCUGAGAGGGUGACCGGCCACACUGGGACUGAGACACGGCCCAGACUCCUACGGGAGGCAGCAGUGGGGAAUAUUGCACAAUGGGCGAAAGCCUGAUGCAGCGACGCCGCGUGAGGGAUGACGGCCUUCGGGUUGUAAACCUCUUUCAGCAGGGACGAAGCGCAAGUGACGGUACCUGCAGAAGAAGCACCGGCUAACUACGUGCCAGCAGCCGCGGUAAUACGUAGGGUGCAAGCGUUGUCCGGAAUUACUGGGCGUAAAGAGUUCGUAGGCGGUUUGUCGCGUCGUUUGUGAAAACCAGCAGCUCAACUGCUGGCUUGCAGGCGAUACGGGCAGACUUGAGUACUGCAGGGGAGACUGGAAUUCCUGGUGUAGCGGUGAAAUGCGCAGAUAUCAGGAGGAACACCGGUGGCGAAGGCGGGUCUCUGGGCAGUAACUGACGCUGAGGAACGAAAGCGUGGGUAGCGAACAGGAUUAGAUACCCUGGUAGUCCACGCCGUAAACGGUGGGCGCUAGGUGUGGGUUCCUUCCACGGAAUCCGUG
rnacentral:rRNA from 1 species